rnacentral:misc_RNA from 1 species
GAGUGGAUGAAAUCAUGUUUGGAAGAACAUCCGAUGUUUGAGGCACUUACUAGUGAAGAACUUGAAGCUGAUCAGGUUGUAAAGCUCCUUAGUGCUGCAACUGAAGAAGGACAAAAGGUAGCACGUAACGGUGGACAGACAUUCCGAGCUGUUUUUAGAAGAAUUGUAGCUCACUGAAUGGUAUGGUCAAAUUCUAGGGAUUUUUCGUACCUCCUGUUUUCUGGUAAGCGAUGAGAUAUCCUCCGUCUUCUGUUGUUGAGUUAAUAGAAAUGUGGUUACCGCAACUAAAAUUAUAGAUACUUUGUGACUGAUCGCUGAGAUUAAUGACCAUUCUGUGCCAUUUUCUUGAUUUUGAUCGUUCCAUUCUUGAGAAUGCAGUUAGUUUAUCAUUCAUGAAGGCAGCUCAUCCCCACUUUUCUAAACCUGAUAAUGCAUUGUUUAUCAUGGAUAUGCUCAACAAUUAGAUUCGCAAGAAUGUUUUGCUAUUGUAUUUU